AGAUUGAACGCUGGCGGCAUGCCUUACACAUGCAAGUCGAACGGCAGCACGGGGGCAACCCUGGUGGCGAGUGGCGAACGGGUGAGUAAUAUAUCGGAACGUACCCUGGAGUGGGGGAUAACGCAGCGAAAGUUGCGCUAAUACCGCAUACGAUCUACGGAUGAAAGUGGGGGAUUCGCAAGAACCUCAUGCUCGUGGAGCGGCCGAUAUCUGAUUAGCUAGUUGGUAGGGUAAAGCCUACCAAGGCAUCGAUCAGUAGCUGGUCUGAGAGGACGACCAGCCACACUGGAACUGAGACACGGGUCCAGACUCCUACGGGAGGCAGCAGUGGGAAUUUUGGACAAUGGGGCAACCCUGAUCCAGCAAUGCCGCGUGAGUGAAGAAGCCUUCGGUGUAAGCUCUUUGUCAGGAAGAACGGUGGAGGCAAUACCCUCGCUAAUGACGGUACUAGAAGAAGUAAGCGCCGGCUAACUACGUGCCAGCA
rnacentral:rRNA from 1 species